rnacentral:lncRNA from 1 species
GUCAGGGUCGUGGGUGGUGUAACGUGUGAUGUGAGGCUGGGUCAGGGUCGUGGGUGGUGUAAUGUGUGAUGUGAGACUGGGUCAGGGUCGUGGGUGGUGUAACGUGUGAUGUGAGGCUGGGUCAGGGUCGUGGGUGGUGUAACGUGUGAUGUGAGGCUGGGUCAGGGUCGUGGGUGGUGUAAUGUGUGAUGUGAGGCUGGGUCAGGGUCGUGGGUGGUGUGAUGUGUGAUGUGAGGCUGGGUCAGGGUUGUGGGUGGUGUAAUGUGUGAUGUGAGGCUGGGUCAGGGUCGUGGGUGGUGUAAUGUGUGAUGUGAGGCUGGGUCAGGGUCGUGGGUGGUGUAAUGUGUGAUGUGAGGCUGGGUCAGGGUCGUGGGUGGUGUAAUGUGUGAUGUGAGGCUGGGUCAGGGUUGUGGGUGGUGUGAUGUGAGGCUGGAUGGAGCAGCAGAGUUAUUUAGAGGAAAUAAUCUGUCCGUUUCGGUCUGAUGUGAGCCGGGGAUCACGGUUACCUGAUCUCCGCAGGUGUGUGUGUGUGUGUGUGUGUGUGUGUGUGUGUGUGUGUGUGUGUGUGUGUGUGUGUGUGUGUGUGUGUGUGUGUGUGUGUGUGUGUGUGGCGUCAAGCUCAGAUCAGUUUCAGUGGCACCGCCAGUGCUGUGAGGAGAAAGGCGCAGCGAUACACUAGACACACACACUAACAAAUAACACACAUGGCCUCUCUGUCAGAUGAAUAAACACUCUCUCACACACUUUUUGUGUCUCAUAUAUAAUACAGAGUCACCACACCUUUCUAACAUGUUGGCUCUAUAAAAUAGCGAUAUUAUAUUACACACCCACACACAGCUGAGUACCAGUGCAGCUCGGCCCAGGCAGCUUGCCACACCCUGCUUAGUUCCACUGAACCAGACAGGAACACCACCUGAGAUGAUAGCCCCUCUCUCUCUCGCUGUGUGUAUGUGUGUGUGUGUGAGAUAUACACGUGUGUGUAAUGUGUGUGAGAGAUAGAGACAGGCAGACCGAGUGUAUGUGAGAGAGGGUUGUGCUUUCCUCCAGUGUGAAAUGCAGCACAGACGGCAACUAUUAACUUACUAAAGCAGGAAUGUGGGAGGUCCAGGACUUCCCAUUAAAAGCUGUGUGGGGGGGGGGAUUAUGGUGCAGAACACAUGUGUCACUGCAUCCUCCACCGAUAUCAAUCCUUAGUAAAUUAUUUCUAAUCCAUGACCUACUCCCUCCUAGUAGCCAGAGCGAGGGACAGAGCGAGGGACAGAGCAAGGUGCAGUCUCUCUUGUCAAAGCAGCCUCCAACCCCUGAGCUGCACCGCUUCAUUAUGAGUACAAUGAGAGGUCCCACUAUCCCCACUAGAGGUCGACCGAUUCAUUUGGGCCGAUUUCAAAUUCAUAAUAAUCGGUCAUCUGCAUUUUUGGACGCCGAUUAUGGCCGAUUGCAUUACAAUCCACGAGGAGACUGUGUGGUAGGGUGACCACCUGCAGCAAGGAGCCAAGGUAAGAUGCUACCUAGCAUUACAAAUCGUAUAGAGAGAAAUAGUCCUAUAACUCCUAUAAUAACUACAACCUAAAACUUCUUACCUGGGAAUAUUG